CUACUACUCUGACUAUUACUAUAUUUACUACUACAACUUCUACAAAUGAAAUGUUCUCUGUAAUCUGAGGGCAAAGAUCAUGCAGAAAGGGUAUGUUGGAGCAAAGACUUUUGACUUGAUAAUAAGGAAACUGGUAGCUAGUUUGAGCUUUGGAGUUCUGAGCCACAGUAAGUCUCAAGCCAAAUGGCCAUCUGAACUAAAUUUGGUACAAUACAAAUAGGAUAAGAGUGGGGAUUCCAGCCUUCCUUGAAGAAGCAAACUGGCCCAAAUUUCAAGCAAAGCUUCUCUGCUAAUCAUCACUUCCAGCUUUGACUCAGAAGAUGUCUCCCAAAUAAUGACUGCUCAAGGAUCAAGAAGUUCCAGGCUAUAAAUAAUAGGAUUCAUAAAUGGAGGCAAUAUUGCAUAAGUCAUUGAAAUCAAAAGAUUCUGGAUUGGUGAAGUGUCUGAUAAAGGACUCAAGACUGUGACCAUACCAGCAAGAAUGAAUAAAAGGAAGAUAAUGAGUUGAGGUGAACAGGUAGACAAAGCUUUGUAGCGCCCUUCCUCAGAGGGCAUUUUAAAUACAGUGGAGAAGAUAUAAAUGUAGGAUACAAUUAAAAAGCCAAAGCAGAUUAAAACUAAACCUGAACUGGCAACGAGUAGUACAUACUCAGUAUCAUGAACCUCAGGUGAUGAGACCUUCAAGACAUGAGGGACGUCACAAAAAAACUGAUGGAUCACAUUGGAUCCUGAGAAAGGCAGACGGAACAUGUUCCCUGUGUGUGCAGCUGAAUAGAUGAGCCCACUGAUCCAUGAACCAGUUGCCGUCCAAAGACAACGGAAUGGUGUCAUGGUGACCCCAUAGUGCAAGGGGUGGCAAAUGGCCACAAAGCGGUCAUAGGACAUCGCCAAAAGCAAAGCAAUUUCUGUUGCAGCAAAGAAGAUAGAGAAGAAAACCUGAGCAGCACAGCCCAGGAGAGAAAUGGAUUGAAUGCCUGUCAGAGAAUUCACAAUGAAUUUGGGAAGAGUGACUGAGAUGCAGCCAAGAUCCAACAGGGAAAGAUUACUCAGAAAAAAAUACAUUGGAUAGUGAAGUUGUGGGUCAGUGACAAUGGCAGUGAUAGUGAGGAGAUUCCCCAUCAGGGUUGCAAUGUAUAUGAGCAAGAAAAGAAUAGCAUGCAAGAUUUGCAGCUCUCGGCUGCUGGAAUACUCCAUAAGGAAGAAUUCCAUGAUGAUGGUACAAUUGCUCAUGUCUUCUGGGCUCCUGUAAUUCAUCCUGUAACAAUAUGGGUAGAGGUUACCAAAUUCUAGAAGGAAAUAAUAGAAGCACUUUAUUACAUAGAAAAACCAUCGACUUCAAUCAAUUCUGACACCAUUUUAGAAGCAAGUAGACCAUUUUAAAAGUCCAUAAUAUGACCAUUCUACAGUAAUGCACUUAAUCCAUAAAAUGAAAAUAUAUAUUCACUGUACCAGCUCAGCUUUCUUGAUUUGACUUACUUAAUAGGACUUCUGCUCCUGACCUGCCUAUGCACACACACCCACAUACUUCACUACAAUCCCUAGAUUGAAUCCUUUUUGCAAGAUACCAGCAAAAACCAAUGCAAAAUAUAUAUAUGUAUGAAUAUAUAUAGAUAGAUCAUAGAUGUUAGAUAGGCCAUUUAUUGAAUACUUUGCAUUGCAAGACACUGUAUAUUUACUAAAACUUUAUUUUUCAGUGAGACUUUAAACAUCUUGAUAUUGUCUAUUCCAUACACAUAUUUAUUUCCAUUCUCUAGGUUGUCAAAGCUCUGCAUUUGAUAUAAAGACUUUUAUUUCCAGUACAGUCUUGCUACCUAGGAUCUGUUUUUCUACCUGACUUCAUAAAUUUAAUUAAUCAGUUGUGACAUUCAUUCCUCUACUUAACACUACAUACACACAUAUACACACAAACACCCUCAGAUAUACUGCUAAAGUAGUUUUUUCCCUAUCUUUCCUUAACAACUUGGGUUAUUUAGUUUAUCCCUCUAUUUUUAGAGUAUGUAAAU